UACUCUUAUUUAAUAAAAUAAUCCUAAUUAAACUCAAACUCUCUCUAUUUCUUAACUAAACCUAAAACAAAUUCCACCUCCUCCACUACUAUUGAUCGAGCGAUUCCACCUUCUCUAGUCCUUCAACUCCGCCACCAUCACAGAUUAAUUGAAUUCACCACCACCAAGCUAAUUCACUACUACCACCAGCAAUUUCCUGACCCAAUGCCUCUCCAUCGCAUAAAACAAAAAAAUAGUACUGUAAACAGAAUGUUUGGGCUUUUUUCUUUCUUCUAUUUCUUUUUCCUUCUCUACUGCUAUUAAAUGGUGGUGUUAGGUUAUUGUUUAUGGUGGUGGGGGUGCUAGGUUGAUGUUGUUGUUGUGGUUGGGCAUUGUUGAUGGCGGUGGUGUUGAUGGAGAGCAGAGGUGAUGAGUUUCUUAAUAAUAGUGGCGUGGGUUUACCACUGGUAGUGAUACUGAAUUUGUUAUUGAAGGUGGCUAUGUGACAAUGGGUUGGUGGUGGUUAUAGGUCACUAGUGGUUAUGGGGGGCAGCAGCGAUGGAUUUGAAAAAUUAUUUAAAAAACGAAUUAUUUAUUUAUGAAUGAUUAAGGAGCAUGAUGGGUUUAUUUAUGUGAGAGAGAAUGGAUUUGAAAUGAAAGAAAAUGAGUUUGAGCGCUGCCAUUACUAAUGCAAGUAAGGUGUUUGGUAAAAUGUCUUAGUUGCUUGGAUUGUUGUUGUUAACGGUGAUGGUUUACUUUGUUGUUGUUGCUGAGAAUUGCAGCAGUGGUAUUAGUGUUGUUAACAAUGGCAAUAUUUGUUAAUUGUAAUGUAUUCUUAGUAGUUUUAGAAUUUAAUUAAGAAAAAAAUAAUAAUCAGCUGAUAAAUAUUUUCUUUUGAAUUCUUAACUCUUAUUUAAUACUUUAAAAAAAUGGAAAAGAAUGAUAGAUGGAUUCACACACUUACUCUAGUGAGAAAAACACACAACCCAAAAAGGGG
rnacentral:lncRNA from 1 species